GAUGAACGCUGGCGGCGUGCCUAAUACAUGCAAGUCGAGCGAACAGACGAGGAGCUUGCUCCUCUGACGUUAGCGGCGGACGGGUGAGUAACACGUGGAUAACCUACCUAUAAGACUGGGAUAACUUCGGGAAACCGGAGCUAAUACCGGAUAAUAUAUUGAACCGCAUGGUUCAAUAGUGAAAGACGGUUUUGCUGUCACUUAUAGAUGGAUCCGCGCCGCAUUAGCUAGUUGGUAAGGUAACGGCUUACCAAGGCAACGAUGCGUAGCCGACCUGAGAGGGUGAUCAGCCAAACUGGAACUGAGACACGGUCCAGACUCCGACGGGAGGCAGCAGUAGGGAAUCUUCCGCAAUGGGCGAAAGCCUGACGGAGCAACGCCGCGUGAGUGAUGAAGGUCUUCGGAUCGUAAAACUCUGUUAUUAGGGAAGAACAAAUGUGUAAGUAACUAUGCACGUCUUGACGGUACCUAAUCAGAAAGCCACGGCUAACUACGUG
rnacentral:rRNA from 1 species